rnacentral:pre_miRNA from 14 species
GCACGUCUUUUUUUUUUCUUUUCCAGAAUUCUGGGGAAAAAGUCAGAAUUCUGACUUUUUUCUCAGAAUUCUGAAGAAGAAAAAAAAAAAAAAGACGU